GCCCCGGGCGCAGCCCCCGCCCCUGCGGGCCCGGCCGGGGGGAGGCGGCUGUCCCGGGGAUCCCGGCCCCUCGUGCGUGUGACGUCGCCGCGUCUCGCGCUGCUCCGGGCCGGCGGCUGGAGGCUCCGGGCGGCGGGAGCUGCCGGGCUGUGUUCCUUCUGUACUGAAGCUUCCUGUUCUGAAGAGCAGCAGGUCGCCUCUGCCUAGAACAAGACACCGCACGCGAGACUGGAGUUGUCUGAAACUGACCAGCAUCUCAGGAGACAGUAGGCCUUUGCUCAGUGGUGGCUGUGGGAGUUCCUGGAAGAAUGUCUGCAGUGCACCUGUUCACCUUCCCCUGCAGAAAGCUGCUCCUUGGAGCUCCGUGGGCCUUUCAGAGACAGGCUGCAGCUCCCGCCCCAGAUCUACCAUUUCACUAACCGUGGAGGUAUUCAUCGGCCAUCUGUAUUUCUGAGCAAAGAUCGGCCAACGGCAAAAUGAAUUUAGCAGGGAAAGAUGCGCACCGGCUUGGCUGCUCGCUAACCGAAAGCUGAAGGUCUCCCAGCCUAUGUGCAGAGAACAGAAUGCGGGUCACCAUGAGGCGAGUGUUGCUGGGGCUUGGCUUUGCUGUUGCCCUGAUGGUGACUGUGCACCUUGGCCAGCAGAUGUUGGAGUGCCAGGCGCUGCUGGGCGAGGGCUAUGGCAAGCGGACACGUGGGCUGAUGAGACCAGAAAACGAAGAACUGGUUCUGGUGGACUCCAGUCGCAUCGAGUACCGGUACAGCAAGGAGAUGCCGCUGAUAUUUAUCGGUGGGGUCCCGCGGAGCGGCACGACUCUCAUGAGAGCCAUGCUGGAUGCGCAUCCAGAGGUCCGCUGCGGAGAAGAGACUCGCAUUAUUCCCCGGGUGCUGGCCAUGCGCCAGGCCUGGUCCAAAUCUGGGCGCGAAAAGAUGCGCUUGGAUGAAGCGGGAGUGACGGACCAAGUCCUGGAUGCUGCCAUGCAGGCGUUUAUCCUGGAAGUCAUUGCCAAGCAUGGGGAGCCAGCCAGAUAUCUAUGUAACAAGGACCCCUUCACUUUAAAAUCCUCUGUCUACCUUUCCAGGCUCUUUCCCAAUUCCAAAUUUCUGCUGAUGGUUCGAGACGGCCGGGCUUCUGUCCAUUCCAUGAUCACAAGGAAGGUGACGAUUGCAGGCUUUGACUUGAACAGCUACCGAGACUGCCUCACCAAGUGGAACAAAGCCAUCGAGGUGAUGUAUUCGCAGUGCGUAGAAAUUGGGCAGUCCAGGUGCCUGCCAGUCUACUAUGAGCAGCUAGUGCUGCACCCCGAGCAGUCCAUGCGUGUCAUCAUGCAGUUCCUAGACAUUUCCUGGAGCGACGCAGUGCUGCACCAUGAAGAAUUAAUAGGGAAACCAGGCGGAGUCUCUCUUUCCAAGAUAGAAAGAUCAACAGACCAGGUUAUUAAGCCUGUAAACUUGGAAGCUUUGUCCAAAUGGAUCGGGCACAUUCCAGGGGACGUAUUGCAAGACAUGGCCCAGAUAGCACCAAUGCUCGCUAGGCUUGGCUAUGACCCAUAUGCAAAUCCACCCAACUAUGGCAACCCAGACCCCUUGGUAAUCAACAACACCCAGAGGGUUAUGAAGGGGGAUUUUAAAACACCAGCCAAUCUGAAAGGACGUCUUCAGGUGACUCAGAAUACGUCUGCUUCUCACUGAAAGUUAAUGAUUUCCAGGUUUAUUUGCCCAAAAUGUAAAUGAACUACUCGGUAACAUCACCAGUCUGUAGGAUUGCUGAGAACAUGGAAAUGUCCAGAUGAACUGAGCAGUAGUUCUGUGUUGCAGCAGGAGAAGCUCUGAUAACCCUCUAGGAUGUGCCAUUGACCUCCAUGGAUUAAUAACAACAAAAAGUCAGACAGACUAUUUUUUAAUUAACAAAACAAAACAAACAACACCUCUGUAGUUCUCGCUUUCCCCUCUUCUUCUGAAACAAAGCUUAAGGAUGUUGCAAGUGGCCUUUCAUUGCCCAGCAGAGAAGGAAUUUGCAAAUGCAGAAGUGGAAAUCUGUUAUCCAAGCAUAUUGCUUGCUACUAAUAUUGCCAAAAUGUGACUGCUGUACCAGGAAUGUAUUUGCAUUUAUUUGCAAAGGUCAAACAUUUAACACUUCAAGUACCAGUUGUCUACCUUUUCUGAACACUCUGUGGUAAAGAGAAAAAUCUGUGGAAAUGAAUUUUCCGACUGACCCUUCGAAGUGCAUUGGAAAGAGAUUUUAUAUUCAGUUACUUGAGAACUUUUUAAAGUUGCAUUAAAAUUGUCUUGUAAUUUUGUUCUCUCAUUUGAAACCAGAAAUAAGUGUAAUAACCACAUAGAGCCUUUGUUGUACAAGUGACAAUCGGCGACCUGCCUUCUAUCAUUCCUUCACUCGUAACGUACAGAAUCUAUUGAAGAGUUAAUAUAUGAGGCCGUUCUGUUUCA